UGGGGAAUUUUGGACAAUGGGGGAAACCCUGAUCCAGCCAUCCCGCGUGUGCGAUGAAGGCCUUCGGGUUGUAAAGCACUUUUGGCAGGAAAGAAACGUCAUGGGUUAAUACCCCGUGAAACUGACGGUACCUGCAGAAUAAGCACCGGCUAACUACGUGCCAGCAGCCGCGGUAAUACGUAGGGUGCAAGCGUUAAUCGGAAUUACUGGGCGUAAAGCGUGCGCAGGCGGUUCGGAAAGAAAGAUGUGAAAUCCCAAAGCUCAACUUUGGAACUGCAUUUUUAACUACCGGGCUAGAGUGUGUCAGAGGGAGGUGGAAUUCAGCGUGUAGCAGUGAAAUGCGUAGAUAUGCGGAGGAACACCGAUGGCGAAGGCAGCCUCCUGGGAUAACACUGACGCUAAUGCACGAAAGCGUGGGGAGCAAACAGG
rnacentral:rRNA from 1 species